rfam:Triticum urartu cultivar G1812 contig325998, whole genome shotgun sequence.
CCAGAUAAUCCAUUAUCUGAGCUUAAGUGGCAUGCUAAAUUAGUAAUAAGUUAGUGUGAAGCCCACCUAAAUCCAUCUUAAACAGAUUUCAAUAAUUAGCUAAGAUGGUGAGCUAGAUAUCUAUGAAUAACAUUUGUGAAUCCACGU